rnacentral:lncRNA from 1 species
GUGUGGGUGGGUAAGGCAUACAAAUGCAAUGCAAAUAAAACUAAAAACCUAGAAUAUCAAUCAUAGGAAAAAAUACAGUGGCUUCCAUAGGAGCCUAAACAGAAUUUCAACCUAUUUACUUGCACAUUAAACACCAUGCUACGUUUUAGAAGCUAAAAUUACAUUAUGAGUUAAAAGAGACCAUUUCACAGGAAGCAAAUAACAGGAGAAUGCCUAAAACCUAGCAGUAAAGAACCAAGUCUCAUACAUCUUGUUGCCCUCUUUAUUAAAAAUGAAAGUUGAGGAAGAAAGAACAGCUUUACCAGAUUUUGUGGUGAAAGUCCUCCUGUAAGUGUUGACAUACUUCCGGACAUCAUCUUCCUUUGAAAGGUUAAAGAGCUUUCUAAUCUUGGAGGCCCUCUUUGGACCUCUCAUCCUAGGUUUUUCAGUGUCCGUUAGCCCUGGCAAAUCAUUCUCACCCUUCUUCACAAUAACCAAGUUCAAAAC